AUGCAUCGAUCUGUAGAUAAAAUAACUGACGAAAAUGUAAACUGUUUUUUUCAUCACAAACAAAAUUUGCACAGCAGAAAGCAGCAAUUAUACCUUUUAAUGCUGACAAUUUUAUUAGUUUGGCGUUUGGUAGGACAAAAAGUUUGCACAGACAAACUCCUUGAGAACUAUAACGCUCGACUAUUGCCGUCAUUAUACGGAGAGAUUAUGUGUAUCAAGCUAUAGCUAAAUAUGUUUAUCGUGUGAUUUCUUGCUAAAUAUGCAGUUAUAUUACGGGCCAUUGGUAUGACUUGUACUCGUGAUGGAGCGGUGCUGGAGCGAGUGAAAACCACGACGCUCCGACUUUUAAAAAAUCGCUCCAGUCAAAAUCACUCGGCUCCGCUCAUACUCUGCUCGGCAGCAUGUCUCAGACGCGUGGGGAGGGUUGAGCCCAGUCAGAACUACGAGCCCUGAGUGGAGCGUCGGCCGUUUUAUUUUGUUGCGUCCAUACAAUAUUUUUUUAGAGUGUGAAAUAUAAAUUUUCACAGAAUGUAGCGUAUUCAUAAACAAUAGGCCUAUAUUAAACCAUCUCUUUAAGUUUUUCUAAAACCCAAACAGAGUCCAGACAUCAGUAAAGUAUCUGUCUAUAAACAUGUUUUAUAGGUGACAAAAAAACACCAGAGUUUUGGGAGACAUUAUAUUUUGUAGACUUUAUGUGAUUUAAAAUGCACAAACCAGAAGCACAAUAUCUGCAGAGAAGGGUUGGCCAUUCUCAAAACAUAAAAUAUCAAUUUAUUUAAAUUUUUGUUUUUGUGUUUCAGAGGGAAAAUCAUUGUUAAGGCAUCUCUCCAUUACAGACCGUUCUGAAAGAAGAAUUUACACAAACGCAUAUAAAAUGCUUUAAAAACUUUAACAGAGAUGUCUAGAGGGUAUUUAAUAGAUCUGCCUCCCACGUAAGAUUUUUCUAGUUACUAGUCGGUCAUUUGUCAUUAUUCAACUAAUCGCAGGUUUAUAUUAAAUUUACAUCUAUAAUCCAUAAUGAGCCUUAAUAUAUUCCGUGCUCAAGAACAUGCAUUAAGUUUGCCACAAAGCACAGGCAGAAGUAGCCUAAUAAUUGUGAAAAAAGAG
ensembl:lncRNA